GGAAAUGUGCCCGAAUUUAAGGAUCACUAUGAUAAAGUGAAUAUAGAGGUACACCAAUCCUCUCAUUUCCU
rnacentral:tRNA from 1 species